rnacentral:rRNA from 1 species
UGGGGAAUAUUGCACAAUGGGCGCAAGCCUGAUGCAGCAACGCCGCGUGCGGGAUGACGGCCUUCGGGUUGUAAACCGCUUUUAGUAGGGAAGAAGCCUUCGGGUGACGGUACCUGCAGAAAAAGGACCGGCUAACUACGUGCCAGCAGCCGCGGUAAUACGUAGGGUCCGAGCGUUGUCCGGAAUUAUUGGGCGUAAAGAGCUCGUAGGCGGUUUGUCGCGUCUGCUGUGAAAACUAGAGGCUCAACCUCUAGCCUGCAGUGGGUACGGGCAGACUUGAGUGGUGUAGGGGAGACUGGAAUUCCUGGUGUAGCGGUGGAAUGCGCAGAUAUCAGGAGGAACACCGAUGGCGAAGGCAGGUCUCUGGGCACUUACUGACGCUGAGGAGCGAAAGCGUGGGGAGCGAACAGGAUUAGAUACCCUGGUAGUCCACGCCGUAAACGUUGGGCGCUAGAUGUGGGGACCUUUCCACGGUUUCCGUGUCGUAGCUAACGCAUUAAGCGCCCCGCCUGGGGAGUACGGCCGCAAGGCUAAAACUCAAAGGAAUUGACGGGGUCAUAGCU